rnacentral:rRNA from 1 species
CAGUCGAACGGAGCUGAGAGGAGCUUGCUUUUCUUAGCUUAGUGGCGAACGGGUGAGUAACGCGUGAGUAACCUGCCCUGGAGUGGGGGACAACAGUUGGAAACGACUGCUAAUACCGCAUAAGCCCACGAUCCGGCAUCGGAUUGAGGGAAAAGGAUUUAUUCGCUUCAGGAUGGACUCGCGUCCAAUUAGCUAGUUGGUGAGGUAACGGCCCACCAAGGCGACGAUUGGUAGCCGGACUGAGAGGUUGAACGGCCACAUUGGGACUGAGACACGGCCCAGACUCCUACGGGAGGCAGCAGUGGGGGAUAUUGCACAAUGGGGGAAACCCUGAUGCAGCGACGCCGCGUGGAGGAAGAAGGUUUUCGGAUUGUAAACUCCUGUCGUUAGGGACGAUAAUGACGGUACCUAACAAGAAAGCACCGGCUAACUACGUGCCAGCAGCCGCGGUAAAACGUAGGGUGCAAGCGUUGUCCGGAAUUACUGGGUGUAAAGGGAGCGUAGACGGAUGGACAAGUCUGAUGUGAAAGGCUGGGGCUCAACCCCGGGACUGCAUUGGAAACUGCCCGUCUUGAGUGCCGGAGAGGUAAGCGGAAUUCCUAGUGUAGCGGUGAAAUGCGUAGAUAUUAGGAGGAACACCAGUGGCGAAGGCGGCUUACUGGACGGUAACUGACGUUGAGGCU